rnacentral:rRNA from 1 species
GAUGAACGCUGGCGGCGUGCUUAACACAUGCAAGUCGAACGGAAAGGCCCAAGCUUGCUUGGGUACUCGAGUGGCGAACGGGUGAGUAACACGUGGGUGAUCUGCCCUGCACUUCGGGAUAAGCCUGGGAAACUGGGUCUAAUACCGGAUAGGACCACAUUUUGGAUGGUGUGGUGGAAAGUUUUUCGGUGUGGGAUGAGCUCGCGGCCUAUCAGCUUGUUGGUGGGGUAAUGGCCUACCAAGGCGUCGACGGGUAGCCGGCCUGAGAGGGUGUACGGCCACAGUGGGACUGAGAUACGGCCCAGACUCCUACGGGAGGCAGCAGUGGGGAAUAUUGCACAAUGGGCGCAAGCCUGAUGCAGCGACGCCGCGGGGGGGAUGACGGCCUUCGGGUUGGAAACUCCUUUCGCUAGGGACGAAGCGUUAUGUGACGGUACCUGGAGAAGAAGCACCGGCUAACUACGUG